rnacentral:rRNA from 1 species
UUUAGUCUAUUCGAUAGUCUCUUACUACUAGGAUACCCGUAGUAAUUCUAGAGCUAAUACUUGCGUAAACACUCGACUUUUGGAAGAGUGGUAUUUAUUAGAUUGAAACCAACCUGUUUCGGCAGUGUACUGGUGAUUCACAAUAACUUUGCGAAUCGCAUGGCUUUUGCCGGCGAUAGAUCGUUCGAGAUUCUGCCCUAUCAGCUUUGAUGGUAGUGUAUUGGACUACCAUGGCUUUAACGGGUAACGGAGGAUUAGGGUUUGAUUCCGGAGAGGGAGCCUGAGAGACGGCUACCACA